AGCAAUCUAAUCAAUGAAGUUCAAAAACUCAAUAUGAUUGUUCGCAAUGCUUUAACCCUGGAUUUCUCUUUAUUUAUUAUCCAAGACUCUUAUUUUCCGCAUUGUUUACUUUAUUUUUAAUUCACAACUCAAACACUCUUCUAUCACGUUUGCACCACUUUAAUCUCAAUCGUUAAACUUGAAUUGGGUAGUUGCUUAGCACUAGUCCCUAUGGGAUCGAUACUUGGCUUUUAAAGGACCACUUUACUACUUGGUGAGACCACAUACACUUGCGGGUAUGCUUAGACGCAACACUGGUCUUAUGUUCUAAAAAAGAGCUUUUUAUUUCAUUUUACAGUAGAUUUAACCCCUCUCCUUACUAGAAUCCUUGUUGGUUGGUUACUACUUUCUCCUUUAUUUUUGCCUUUCUUUCCCUUUCUCACUGACUGGAUGGAUAUCCACUUUUUUACAAAUGUUGGACAAGUUUUAGUGUUAUCCUCUUCUUUCAUAUAUUCCAAAGCUGGUUCUACCUUCUUUGGUAUUACUUCAUGCAGGAUCUUCAUUCGAGAUGUACUCCUUUCAACAAUAAAAGAAGAUAACAAAAGCCUCCCAUAUCUACUUUCCUCUCCCUGCAUAUUUAAUGGCUCUAUAUCAUAUGUGGCUAGAUUUGACGUCACUUUUCUUGAACCUGCAAACAUCUGAAACUGGGGUUCUUCAACUACUUGCAAAGGUUCAUGGUAAGCUGCUUCCUCUAGUUCCGGCAAUAAUCUACCUUCUUCCCCUAGUCCAGUAAUAGCCAAUAUAACUGAGAAAUCCUACUCAUGACUCUUCUGUAUAUUAUCUACUAUUCCCUCUUUUUGAUUAUCAUUUGACUGCAGAUUCCCAGUCUAAAUGCCAUGAAAUUGCUACUGUACUUCUAUACUUUUUUGAGGCUGCAUUAUUCCCUUAUUGUCAGUUGUUGUUUCCUGUAUAUUUUCAUUUAAAUUUGUCUGCAUUGUUUCUCUGCUCUGACUAGCCUUUUCCCCUUGACUUUUAUUUACUAUGCUAACACUGUCCACUUGCUUACCUCUUUGUACAGGUAUAUCCUCUUUCCCAAUUUGGACAUCACCCUUUUCCUUUAUGUGUCUAUCUUCCCCACUAUUAAUAUUGGGAUCCUCUUGAUCUAUAUCAUUCAAAACAUCACAAAAAUUACCAGUCUCUACCUCAUGUUUCUGCGACAUAUUCGUGGAAGUAUUAACAUCACUAUUAAUGGGUUCAAACUCUUUUGACAACUUUUUUGUGGGAUCCCAUGCAAACCACCCACCAUUUCUUCCUCUGAAGGCAUGUGGAGGGAUAUCUUUUCUCACCUGUUGCUUCUGCUCCUCUUCUAAAGUUUCGAAUUGUCUUCUCAAUUCAGGAGGAAGAGCUCUACAUUCAUCCUCUUCAUGACCUUGCAGUUUGCAAGUCUUACAGUAUUUGGGUAAAUAAUCAUACUGAAUCUUAAUUUGUUCAACUCUGGUAGUUUCAUUAUUGUCAUUGACCACUUCAGUUUCCACCAUUUCAGGCAAUUUGGCAAGCAAAUCAACCAGCACCUUCACCUUCGCACAGCUUGGCCUAGUCUUAUUAAUGAUGGCCAUAUCCAACUGCAAUGGUUUUUCCACCGCUGCUGCCAAUGAAAAUAAUGAUUCAUUUACAAAGAAUGUUGGUAACAGGUCUGGAACCGAAACCCAAGCUAACGUUUGAGCUUGAAACUUGCAUAAUAGAUGAGUGGACUCAUUUGAUAGGAGUAUCCCUCCUUGUCCAAUAUGUAAUACACCAUUUUAGACAUGAUGUUAACAAAAUCAUCCAUAUGACUCAAUCUAAUCAACACAUGCCUGUUGUGUAGCAAUUCAAUUUUACAUUCACCCUUAAUGUUAUAUUGUUUGGGAAUUUGUGAACG
rnacentral:lncRNA from 1 species